GAACGGCAAUCACUUUCUACUAUCUAGAAUCAGCAUACGUGCUUCUUCCCUGUUGCAUUCUUAGCCCUCCGGAGUUUCUCAUUGCAUGGCUUAUCAGCAAAAGGGGAAAAAAAAGAAAAGAAAAGAAAGAACAUGAGUUUGGACAUUAAUUUUCAUAUUUUGAUUGAAGGAUCACAUCAACCACCCAAUCAAACACAAUUUGUACUUUCCCAUUAACUGAUUAGAUAAUUUAAUCAGUUUGGAUGAUCCCAAAUACCCUAGCUUAGAUGUUGCCUGAAAGUAUUUGUUCUCUGAAACAAGUAGCGCCAUGAAAGACAAGAAAAUUCCUUAAACUGGUGUUUUCAAGUAAUGAUUUGUUAUGCGUUCAUGUGUUGAAUAUAUGCUCAUUUGGUUAAUUCUUGGAUAGUGAAUCCUCAACAACAUUACAAGUAAACACACAUUUAUUUCUCUACUUAGUUAUCAACAGCACGGCAUAAGUUUUUCAAUAUCAAUAUUUUUUUUUGCUUAAAAAUGUAAACUUUACGCGAUUGCCUUGGCAACUGUAAACAAAAUCAAAGCAGGUGAAGGCUACAGACAUGUUUACUUUAUUUCUACACUGACCUACGUGAUUAGGUCUGUGGUAAAAUAUGCAACAGAGAAGAGAAGCAGCAGCUGAAGAUAUAUUGCGAGAGACAAUGGCACACUGGGUUGUUUACCUCUAUUCAGUAACUCGAUAACAAACACAUCAUAGAAUUUGAAGAAAGAGAUUGAUUACUCGGAGAAGGUAGCACAUCGCGAAAUUAAGAUGUAAAGUUUACCAGCAGGCAGCAGAUCCUUAUCUUAAAUAUUCUGUUAGAUCAUCAGAACCUUGCAACUGCUCAAAAGGUCAGUUAAUUCCUGUUUUUCUCUCCAUCUCUGGUGUUUUAACAUUUAACAAUAGAGUUCUCUUCCAAGUCUGAUGGAUUUUCAGCUCUAAAUCUUGAGUGUAUUUUUAUUUCAUGAUUUUUGCGUUGGAUUGUUUGACUUUUCAGUUUUUGAUGAGGGUGAUAUAGGUUUAUUAACAAUCACUUUAUUUUUCUUUUUAUACUUUUGUUGAUUAGUGACUGGAUUAUUUUUUAUUUAUUGGAAAA